AGAAAAGAUUAUUAAGCUUCUAACUUAAUCCUUGGCUCAUCCCACUUUUCUU
rnacentral:tRNA from 1 species